UGUUGUCUGACCUACUGUGAUCUCCAGCAUUGAUAUUUUCGGCAAAUUCCUAAGGAUUGUAGAGGACUUCUUCCACCCCGGUUCAUUGGGUUCUGAGAUGAUUGCCAGGCCUAAUGUGCCGUCUGCAGACUUACUACAAGUGAGUUUUGGUCGCCAGACGCAACAUAGUGAGUGACAUUGAUUGUUGUGCUACACCAUUGAGAAGUUCUACCUCCAACUUCUCCAAACCCUCAUUCCAGU